UUGCGAACUUCUCAACUUUCUGUGGGACUGGUGUGAGAAAAGCCCAUCCAGUUACCCAAAAGAGAACAGUAUGGAGAACUGGGCCGCAGAUGGAACACCAGGAGUCCCCUUUCAUUGAGGAGUCUCACCAGAAGACAAGUUACCUUAGGAACAUGUCAUGCUAUAGGCUGUUGUCUUCUCAAGCGUAUAAGAGAGGAACCCCCAAAAGACAGAAGAACAUAAAGAAGAAAAUGUAUAUCUUAAAAGCAUCAGUACAAAAAUCAUUCAUCCACCAGCUCACUAAUAGAAGUAAUACUUCUAUUAUUAUUCAGUAAGAAUCAAAAAUCCAUCUGUAAAUCUGCAGACGUUGCUCUGCAUCUCUUAGCAUGGAUCAGAGAGGAUACACAUGCUAUUUACAGGAAUUAAGGAUGAAAGGAUCAGGUUUCACUUCCCUUUUAUCCCUUACUUAUUUUUAAAUGAUUGCGCAUCUCAAAUAGACUUGAACUGGUCUUAAAUUAUGUGCAAACCAUCCAUGCAAAUAAUUUGCUCAUUAAGUGCAAGUGUAUUUCCAAAUGAGAAAUAAAUUUCUUCCUGAAUAUCA